rnacentral:rRNA from 1 species
GAUGAACGCUGGCGGCGUGCCUAAUACAUGCAAGUCGAGCGAACAGAUAAGGAGCUUGCUCCUUUGACGUUAGCGGCGGACGGGUGAGUAACACGUGGGUAACCUACCUAUAAGACUGGAAUAACUCCGGGAAACCGGGGCUAAUGCCGGAUAACAUUUAGAACCGCAUGGUUCUAAAGUGAAAGAUGGUUUUGCUAUCACUUAUAGAUGGACCCGCGCCGUAUUAGCUAGUUGGUAAGGUAACGGCUUACCAAGGCAACGAUACGUAGCCGACCUGAGAGGCGGAUCGGCCACACUGGAACUGAGACGCGGUCCAGACUCCUACGGGAGGCAGCAGUAGGGAAUCUGCCGCAAUGGGCGAAAGCCUGACGGAGCAACGCCGCGUGAGUGAUGAAGGUCUUCGGAUCGUAAAACUCUGUUAUUAGGGAAGAACAAAUGUGUAAGUAACUGUGCACGUCUUGACGGUACCUAAUCAGAAAGCCACGGCUAACUACGUG